UACGGAGGGUGCGAGCGUUGUCCGGAAUCACUGGGCGUAAAGGGCGCGUAGGCGGCGCGGUAAGCGUGCGGUGAAAGUCCGGGGCUCAACCCCGGAUCGGCCGUGCGGACUGCCGGGCUCGAGCACUGUAGGGGCGGGUGGAACUCCGGGUGUAGCGGUGGAAUGCGUAGAGAUCCGGAAGAACACCGGUGGCGAAGGCGGCCCGCUGGGCAGUGGCUGACGCUGAGGCACGAAGGCCAGGGGAGCAAACGGG
rnacentral:rRNA from 1 species